rnacentral:rRNA from 1 species
CAGGACUGCAGUUGACCGUACCGUAAUCCGACACAGGUAGGCGAGGCGAGCAGCCUAAGGUGCUCGAGUGAUUUACGGAAAAGGAACUCGGCAAAAUGACCCCGUAACUUCGGGAUAAGGGGUGCCGGCAGUAGCUGACCUAAUCAAGGGAAGGCGAGACCGGCCGCAGAGAAUCGUCCCAAGCGACUGUUUAGCAAAAACACAGGAGCGUGCUAAGGCAUUGUCCAAGCCAACGUAUACGCUCUGACUCCUGCCCGGUGCCGGAAGGUUAAGGCAAGUCGUCAGCCGCAAGGCGAAGCGAUGAACCGAAGCCCCGGUAAACGGCGGCCGUAACAAUAACGGUCCUAAGGUAGCGAAAUUCCUUGUCGGGUAAGUUCCGACCUGCACGAAUGGAGUAACGACUUGGGAGCUGUCUCUUCCGUAAGCUCGGCGAAAUAGAAGCAUCGGUGAGGAUUCCGAUUACCCGCGACAGGACAAAAAGACCCCAUGCACCUUUACUACAACCUGUCAUUGAUUGUCGGUAUGCGUUGCGUAGCAUAGGUGGGAGCCGGUGAAACCGGGGUUUCGGCCCUGGUGGAGGCACCAGUGAAAUACCACCCUUCGUUUACUAACAAUCUCACUCAGCCGGCAACACCGGCGAGGACCGUGGCAGGCGGGUAGUUUGACUGGGGCGGUCGCCUCCUAAAAAGUACCGGAGGCGCACAAUGGUAGGCUCAGUGCGGUCGGUAAUCGCACGUCGAGUGUAUACGCAGAAGCCAGCCUGACUGCGAGCGCGACAGCGCGAGCAGGGACGAAAGUCGGUGUAAGUGAUCCGGCGGGACCGUGUGGACGGCCCGUCGCUCAUCGGAUAAAAGGUACGCUGGGGAUAACAGGCUUAUCGCGCCCGAGAGUUCACAUCGACGGCGCGGUUUGGCACCUCGAUGUCGGCUUGUCACAUCCUGGGGCUGGAGAAGGUCCCAAGGGUCCGGCUGUUCGCCGGUUAAAGUGGCACAUGAGCUGGGUUCAGAACGUCGUGAGACAGUUCGGUCUGUAUCCGUCGUGGGCGUGGGAAUGUUGAGGGACGUCGACCUUAGUACGAGAGGACCGGGUCGAAGCGACCGCUCGUGUACGGGCUAUCCUGCCAAGGGUAUCGCCCGGUAGCGAUGUCGCGCGCAGAUAACCGCUGAAAGCAUCUAAGUGGGAAACUGUUCCCAAGAUGAACAUUCCUGGGUCUUAAGACCCCUGAAGGGCCGUGGGAGACUACCACGUUGAUAGGCGGCAGAUGUAAGGCGUGCAAGCGCUUCAGUCGAGCCGUACUAAUCGCCCGUGCAGUUUGAUCUC